GCGUUCAGCUCCAGCCUUUCUCCCCAUCUGCCCUCCUACUCGUGCCCCAUUUGUCUGAGUCCCACCCGCUCUGGGAAGUGAUUUGAUACCGCCAAUAUUAACAUUCACGCUUUAACUCCUUCAUGGAUGCAUAAACUUGACUGAUGUCCUAUCCUGUUCCCUGUUCACAAUGCCAGUUAGGGAUGCUUCAAACAUUGCUCAUGAGGCCAACUUGACUCUGGGGAAGGAAGUUCCUUCCAUUUUACUUUCAUAAUGAUUCUGCAAGAUGGACAAAACUUACCUAGCUUCAUAUAACCUCAUCACGGUAUCUACGUAUGACAUCUCAUUGGCUCUCAAAAUGCACGAUUUAGUCAAAGUUGGUCAGAUGUAUCUCUGAAAAUGACAGUUCUUGCUCCCAGAGGCUUAACUGUUGUGUUUCUCAUGGUGCUAUUUUACUGUGAUGGAGAAAAUAUUUGUGUAGGAAUACUGAAAGAGAGCGCCUGAAUUAAAAUAAAAAAGAAUAGAAUUCUA